CUGGAAGAUGACACACUUUUUCACUAUACACAGUAUAAAAUGGCACACUUUGUAUGGAAGAAACAUGCAUUGAAUUGCCUGUAGAAAUAUUAAUGUAGUUUUAGCUACAUCAGAAUUCUGUGUAGGUGGUUUACAGUUUGGGAGUCUAAUUAUUACUUAAUGGUAUACAGAUAUAGUAAAGACAUCUGAACACACAACAUACAAUACCACUAGGUAUUAACAUGGAAUUAAAAAAAAAAAAAAGACUGAUGUAUAAAGCCUAAGUGUAAGUAUGGACUUUAUUUUUUUAAAAAAAAGUCUUUUGAGAACUACAAAUUACAAAGUAAAAGCAGAUCACUACGUAGAAAUCUAGUGAAUACAUUUUGCCUGUGCAUGAAAAACUUUAUCAAAGUUACUCAUUUAACAAAUUCACCCCAUUCACAACAAUCAGUUAUAAUGUUCUUUUUAAGGUUACUAUACCUUUAUUUCAAAUUAUAUUACAUGUUAUUCCCUCAAAAUGAACUUUUCAAUGACAAACUUUUGGCUCAUAAGAAUGGCACCUUCGAAAGGGGCGAUCUCCACUCAGUCUCUGGUGGCAUUAUUCCAGGCUAGUUGCACCAGUUAAAAACCUUCAAAUUGUUCACUUUUAACACAAAGUCUCCCCAUAAAAAAUGUGGCUACAUUUUCCCCCCAAUGACUACAUACAUAGAUGGGUAGCAGCAAGAAAAGAUGAAAAUGAAAAGGCAGCCAUUAAAAUAAAUGGAUCAAUUGUAUACCAAGUAUUUGGCUCAUGGCAAUUAAAAAACGGCAACUAGGGUAUGUUAAUAGCCAGAGGCUUGAGUCAUUACUGAGUAUGUUAAGAGAACGAAGCCAGUCCAGUAUGACCGAGUAGGAAUAUAUAAUUGUCAUUGCACUUCAUUUGUUAUAGCAAAUACUCUAAGCCAACAGGAAAUCUAAGCUAUAUCUAGAUUCCCAAUUAGAACAUGCUGACCUUUAAGAUUUUCAACAAUUUUUACUGGGUUUAGUACAUCAGUCAUUUUCUUUACUCAAACUCCAUUACGAGUUCUUUCCUAUCAAUCUAAGUGUAUUCUGUGCAUAAAAUACCUUAAAUAUUAAGACUUUUUCUAAGGUUCAUUUGAAAAUGGUUGUAUGAAAAGAAUACCCAUUUGUUUUGCCUGGAAAGAUACAAACUAAACGCAGAAGCUUCUCAAGGGGAAAAAGCUCAACUUUCUUCUUCCCACCACCUCUGCCACAUUAUGAUCUCCUAAACUUUUCAAGUCUGUUCUCCAUGGCUUCUCUACGGAUGAAAACCAGAGA